AACGUAGGAGACAAACGUUAUCCGGAGUUACUGGGCGUAAAGGGCGUGUAGGCGGGUCUUUAAGUCAGGGGUGAAAUCCUGGAGCUCAACUCCAGAACUGCCUUUGAUACUGAAGAUCUUGAGUUCGGGAGAGGUGAGUGGAACUGCGAGUGUAGAGGUGAAAUUCGUAGAUAUUCGCAAGAACACCAGUGGCGAAGGCGGCUCACUGGCCCGAUACUGACGCUGAGGCACGAAAGCGUGGGGAGCAAACAGG
rnacentral:rRNA from 1 species